GACGUAGGGCGCGAGCGUUGUCCGGAUUUAUUGGGCGUAAAGAGCUCGUAGGCGGCUUGUCGCGUCAACUGUGAAAACCCGUGGCUCAACCAUGUGGUCUGCAGUCGAUACGGGCAGGCUAGAAUUCGGUAGGGGAGACUGGAAUUCCUGGUGUAGCGGUGAAAUGCGCAGAUAUCAGGAGGAACACCAGUGGCGAAGGCGGGUCUCUGGACAGUUCCUGACGCUGAGGCACGAAGGUCAGGGGAGCAAACGGG
rnacentral:rRNA from 1 species